AUUGAACGCUGGCGGCAGGCCUAACACAUGCAAGUCGAACGAGUGGCGGACGGGUGAGUAAUGUCUGGGACACUGCCUGAUGGAGGGGGAUAACUACUGGAAACGGUAGCUAAUACCGCAUACCAUCAGAUGUGCCCAGAUGGGAUUAGCUAGUGGGUGGGUUAAUGGCUCACCUAGGCGACGUUCCCUAGCUGGGCUGAGAGGAAGACCAGCCACACUGGAACUGAGACACGGUCCAGACUCCUACGGGAGGCAGCAGUGGGGAAUAUUGCACAAUGGGCGAAAGCCUGAUACAGCCAUGCCGCGUGUGUGAAGAAGGCCUUCGGGUUGUAAAGCACUUUCAGCGGGGAGGCGUUACCAGCAGAAGAAGCACCGGCUAACUCCGUGCCAGCAGCCGCGGUAAUUC
rnacentral:rRNA from 1 species